rnacentral:rRNA from 1 species
UACGAAGGGGGCUAGCGUUGCUCGGAAUCACUGGGCGUAAAGGGUGCGUAGGCGGGUCUUUAAGUCAGGGGUGAAAUCCUGGAGCUCAACUCCAGAACUGCCUUUGAUACUGAAGAUCUUGAGUUCGGGAGAGGUGAGUGGAACUGCGAGUGUAGAGGUGAAAUUCGUAGAUAUUCGCAAGAACACCAGUGGCGAAGGCGGCAUCCUGGACCAACACUGACACUGAGGAGCGAAAGCCAGGGGAGCAAACGGG